UUUCCCAUUUCCCAUUUUCGACGUUUCUCCCUAACCCUAAGCCUGUGCCCUCUUUCCAUUUUUCUCAAUUCGAAUUCCCCUCCGGCAGCAAUCCACCUCCGGUCCUCCACCAAUCUACGACCAGACCUCCACGGCUCAACCCAUUUCCAGAAUCAAAGAUGCAAAUCUUAUGAGAAGGCCAAAAAGAAGUUGACAAUAUUAGAGGCUCCAAAUAUUCUUACAAUUGCAUUGAAGAGAUUUUAGUCCUGUAAAUUUGGAAUGCUUAACAAAGCGGUUCGGUUCCCUAAGUUUUUGAUAUCAUGAAUAUACAGGCUCUAUGGAGUAGUGGUCCAUUUGGAUAUCAUGAAUGCAGCAUUUUCGGGUCCCUACUUGUGCUAUGUUAAAAAUGCUCAAAACAAGUGGUUUAAGAUUGAUGACAGCAUGUGAUUCGGGAGCUCACUCGGUUGGGAGUUGUCAGAGACUGCCUCACACUAUCAAACUCUUAUUUUGGUACUUGGGAUUUUAUAUUUUGGUUAAAUGACAUGUAUAGGUGUUUUGGCUAAUGUAGCCUAUAUGUUUUGUUGUGUAUUUAGCCAUUUGAUUUGGCUUGAAUAUGGUAUAUGUUUUGUUAUGUAAAUGACCUUAUGAGAUGUGGUGUAAAAUGGUUAUGUGAAUGCUUUGUUUGUGAUUUGGUAUUUUGGGUACCAAAUGGUUGAAGUUAAGAUGUAAUAUGUAUGCUUAGUUUUAGGCACAAUGCCUCA